rnacentral:rRNA from 1 species
GCUUAUGCGUUGUUGGGUAGGGGAGCGUUCUGUAAGCCUGCGAAGGUGUGCUGUGAGGCAUGCUGGAGGUAUCAGAAGUGCGAAUGCUGACAUAAGUAACGAUAAAGCGGGUGAAAAGCCCGCUCGCCGGAAGACCAAGGGUUCCUGUCCAACGUUAAUCGGGGCAGGGUGAGUCGACCCCUAAGGCGAGGCCGAAAGGCGUAGUCGAUGGGAAACAGGUUAAUAUUCCUGUACUUGGUAUUACUGCGAAGGGGGGACGGAGAAGGCUAUGUUGGCCGGGCGACGGUUGUCCCGGUUUAAGCGUGUAGGCUGGUUUUCCAGGCAAAUCCGGAAAAUCAAGGCUGAGGCGUGAUGACGAGGCACUACGGUGCUGAAGCAACAAAUGCCCUGCUUCCAGGAAAAGCCUCUAAGCAUCAGGUAACAUCAAAUCGUACCCCAAACCGACACAGGUGGUCAGGUAGAGAAUACCAAGGCGCUUGAGAGAACUCGGGUGAAGGAACUAGGCAAAAUGGUGCCGUAACUUCGGGAGAAGGCACGCUGAUAUGUAGGUGAAGUCCCUUGCGGAUGGAGCUGAAAUCAGUCGAAGAUACCAGCUGGCUGCAACUGUUUAUUAAAAACACAGCACUGUGCAAACACGAAAGUGGACGUAUACGGUGUGACGCCUGCCCGGUGCCGGAAGGUUAAUUGAUGGGGUCAGCGCAAGCGAAGCUCUUGAUCGAAGCCCCGGUAAACGGCGGCCGUAACUAUAACGGUCCUAAGGUAGCGAAAUUCCUUGUCGGGUAAGUUCCGACCUGCACGAAUGGCGUAAUGAUGGCCAGGCUGUCUCCACCCGAGACUCAGUGAAAUUGAACUCGCUGUGAAGAUGCAGUGUACCCGCGGCAAGACGGAAAGACCCCGUGAACCUUUACUAUAGCUUGACACUGAACAUUGAGCCUUGAUGUGUAGGAUAGGUGGGAGGCUUUGAAGUGUGGACGCCAGUCUGCAUGGAGCCGGCCUUGAAAUACCACCCUUUAAUGUUUGAUGUUCUAACGUGGACCCGUGAUCCGGGUUGCGGACAGUGUCUGGUGGGUAGUUUGACUGGGGCGGUCUCCUCCUAAAGAGUAACGGAGGAGCACGAAGGUUGGCUAAUCCUGGUCGGACAUCAGGAGGUUAGUGCAAUGGCAUAAGCCAGCUUGACUGCGAGCGUGACGGCGCGAGCAGGUGCGAAAGCAGGUCAUAGUGAUCCGGUGGUUCUGAAUGGAAGGGCCAUCGCUCAACGGAUAAAAGGUACUCCGGGGAUAACAGGCUGAUACCGCCCAAGAGUUCAUAUCGACGGCGGUGUUUGGCACCUCGAUGUCGGCUCAUCACAUCCUGGGGCUGAAGUAGGUCCCAAGGGUAUGGCUGUUCGCCAUUUAAAGUGGUACGCGAGCUGGGUUUAGAACGUCGUGAGACAGUUCGGUCCCUAUCUGCCGUGGGCGCUGGAGAACUGAGGGGGGCUGCUCCUAGUACGAGAGGACCGGAGUGGACGCAUCACUGGUGUUCGGGUUGUCAUGCCAAUGGCACUGCCCGGUAGCUAAAUGCGGAAGAGAUAAGUGCUGAAAGCAUCUAAGCACGAAACUUGCCCCGAGAUGAGUUCUCCCUGACCCUUUAAGGGUCCUGAAGGAACGUUGAAGACGACGACGUUGAUAGGCCGGGUGUGUAAGCGCAGCGAUGCGUUGAGCUAACCGGUACUAAUGAACCGUGAGG